GCCAGUAGUGUAUGCUUCUCCUAAAGAUUAAGCCAUGCAUGCCUUCGAAUAAGAGGAAGCAAUUCUCUCUGAAUCUGCGAACGGCUCCGCAAACCAGUUGUAAACUAUAGCAAGCAAGCUCCGGGUCGGCCUUCACGGGCUGGCCUGGGGCGAUAUGGAUAACCCUGGUAAUUCUGAGGCUAAUACACGAACGUAAAACCUAGUGGACCGGCCUCGGCUGGGAAGCUGGGGGACGUGCGAUUGCAGGCUUGGUAACUCCGGGAAAGGGCGCACGUCCAGACCACGCUAAAAAGGCCGGGUCCCUUCGGGGGCUCGUCCCAGUGGCUCUUGCUGUGUGCUUCUGACCUAUCAACUAGACGGCAGCGUAAGGGACAUGCUAUGGUGACAACGGGUACAGAGGAUUAGGGUUCGAUCCUGGAGAGUGGGCCUGAGAGAUUGCUCAUACUUCUAAGGAAGGCAGCAGGCGCGCAACGUUCCCCUUGGGCAAUGCCCGAGGGCGUUAGGGGACAUAUGAAUGCCUGCCCAUUGGGUGGGCAAUUCAAAUGGGUCUG
rnacentral:rRNA from 1 species